rnacentral:rRNA from 1 species
GAUGAACGCUGGCGGCGUGCCUAACACAUGCAAGUCGAGCGAACGGACCAGAAGCUUGCUCCUCUGAUGUUAGCGGCGGACGGGUGAGUAACACGUGGAUAACCUACCUAUAAGACUGGGAUAACUUCGGGAAACCGGAGCUACUACCGGAUGAUAUUUUGAACCGCAUGGUUCAAGAGUGUAAGACGGUCUUUCUGUCACUUAUAGAUGGACCCGCGCUGCAUUAGCUAGUUGGUAAGGUAACGGCUUACCAAGGCAUCGAUGGAUAGCGGACCUGAGAGGGUGGUCGGCCACACUGGAACUGAGACACGGUCCAGACUCCUGCAGGAGGCAGCAGUAGGGAAUCUUCCGCGAUGGGCGAGAGCCUGACGGAGCAACACCGCGUGAGUGAUGAAGGUCUUCGGAUCGGAGAACUCUGUUAUUAGGGAAGAACAUAUGUGUAUGUAACUGUGCACAUCUUGACGGUACCUGAACAGAAAGCCCCGGCUAACUUCGUG